rnacentral:lncRNA from 1 species
CGGCAGCAGGGAGGCAAGCCCCUCUCGGCUCUAGGUGGCCGCAGGACAGGAGACUAUGGGACUCCUCCUCCUCACCCAACUCUAAUAGCAAGUGAAUGGUCAGUCUGUCAUUCCUCUGAUCACAACACCUUGGGGAAGGCGGAGCAGUGAGUGAAGAUGAAGCCCAUUAGAAACGUUCCAGGAGAGUUCCAACCCUGAGCAGGGUUUCCACCUGCCCCUUGGAGACAAGAAAGGCUGGCAUAACCGCAAAAGUAUGGGCUUUGCAAUCAGAAAUAUCUGUGUUCUGAAUCUGUUACCUUAGCUGUAAAAUGAGGGCAACGCUAAUCGUGUUGUUGUGAGGAAGUAGCAUAAAUGUUGCUUCCCUUUCUCUCUCUUCUACUUUCUCAGCCAGGAAAGUUGAGAUGAAACGGAUAGGGUGAUCAGCAGGAACCAAUCAUGAGUUGGAGCCUCAAUUCAGAUGUAGACUUCUUAAACCCCAGAAUGUUCUUCUUGGAUUUUUACAUUGGGUGUUCCAGAUCAGAAGAAAAGGACUGCUUUUUUUUUUUUUUUGAGACGGAGUCUCACUCUGUUGCCC